AUCUCAUCAAUUGGAAGGAAUCCCUUCCAAUCGAUGAGGUAUAACAACCUCAUCAAUCGGAAGGGAUUCCUUCCAAUUGAUGAGGU
rnacentral:miRNA from 1 species